CCUACGGGAGGCAGCAGUGGGGAAUAUUGGGCAAUGGAGGAAACUCUGACCCAGCAACGCCGCGUGAAUGAUGAAGGUCUUCGGAUUGUAAAGUUCUUUUCUAAGGGAAGAAGAAAGUGACGGUACCUUAGGAAUAAGCCUCGGCUAACUACGUGCCAGCAGCCGCGGUAAUACGUAGGAGGCAAGCGUUAUCCGGAAUGACUGGGCGUAAAGGGUGCGUAGGUGGUUUGACAAGUUGGUAGCGUAACUCCGGGGCUCAACCUCGGCACUACUACCAAAACUGUCGGACUUGAGUGCAGGAGGGGCAAAUGGAAUUCCUAGUGUAGCGGUGGAAUGCGUAGAUAUUAGGAGGAACACCAGUGGCGAAGGCAGCAUACCGGCGGCGAUCUGACGCUGAGGCACGAAAGCGUGGGUAUCGAACAGGAUUAGAUACCCUAGUAGUC
rnacentral:rRNA from 1 species